rnacentral:lncRNA from 1 species
UGACAAUUGAGAGUCCCUGCUUAAGCUUGAAUAAACGACCCUUGUGUGCUUACAUCGGAAACGGCCUCCUGGUGGUCUUUGGGACCUCACAAUCUGGGCACAACAUUUGGGGGCUCGUCCGGGAUCCCAAGACCUUCAGGACUCCCGUACCGGAGGGUCAACGCCGGCUGCUUCUGCAGGUCCUGUUCACCACUGAGGAACGAGAGAGGAUCCAGAAUGAGGCCAGGAAAUUGGUUCCUGGUGACAAUGGUCAACCCACCACCAAUGCUGACACUAUCAACACUUCUUUUCCUCUGUCCCGACCCAACUGGGACUUCAACACGGCGGAAGAUGACCUCCUCAUAGCAGCUGAAACGCGGGAAGACUGCCUAAGUGGAACCAAGAGACUCUUGAUAGUCAUAGGAGAACUGGGGUACCGGGC